CCCAGGUUUCCCUUGAGGACUGCAGAGUUUGGUAACAGCCUGCACCCUUGUUUUUACCACCAAAGUACAAUCUCUGUCUCAGGAGCAGUUAGGUGCUCCCUUGAAAUGGUCAGGAGCCCCAGAAGGUCAUCUGUCACCUGUACAACUGUUUGUCAGCUGAGCAAGGACACACACGCCUCAGGACAGGAUGAGAGACCACCUGAGGAGCAGGUGCACUACUAAUAUCAAGAAAUUAAAUUAUUACACAUGAUGAGUGCUGCAGAUAUUUGGACCUAGCUUCCUGAAGGAACCCUGGGGAAGAAUGGCAGAUGCCCAGGAUCGACAUUCUGAGUCUUCCUCCUGGUCAGCCUUGCACUUGGAUGGCCUCUUCUGCCAGAGCUUCCAUUCAUCACCAUUGGGAUCUGCUAUGCAUGGAAAAAUGCCAAAGCUUUGCCACAUCUUCUGAAGAUUAAUGUUUUCCAUAGGCAGAUCUCACUCUCCUUGUUCCUAAACGGAGCAUGGAGCAGACAGUUCUUGGCACUUGAACAAGUGAAUGGAUAAAGGGGUAAAUUAACAUUGGGUGCUGAAAGAUUAGUUAA